AAAAAAAUGAGGAGCUCAACGUCUAUGAAAAUUCAUUUCUUGCAUGACAUAUUUGUGGAGGGAAUUUACCAUAGCAUGAUAUGAAUUUUAUAUAUUAAUAUUAAUUGGCCAUAUUAAAGUUUAAACCCAUUUGCCGUAUGAAUUUCAUAGCAUGUUCUAGUUAAGGAUCUUAGUAUCUUACAAUUGUUUAAAUAUGAAUCUUGAAUCUUGAAUCUUGAAUCUUGAAUCUUGGUUGCUUUGUUUCAUCAAGGUAAGGUUGGUACCUUAGUGAAACUAGGUGUUUGGUUGUCAAAUUAUAGCUUUGUAAAGCCCGUGUUUCAGAACUAAGGCCCGCACUAUUCAUCAAAUUUUACCCAGUUUCGAAUCUACCUCAACACCCUCAGAUUGAGUUAGAUGGCCUCGAUUUGUGUGUCAGCUUAUACAAUUAAUUCCUUUUCCCUCUUGCACAUCUUAUCUCUUCUGCCUUUUCUCCCAAAUUUCAGCUCAGGAACCAUAGUGCAAUAGCUUUCAAAGAUCUAGAACUCACGGCCUAAAAAUUCAGCGGUGCAAGGACGAAGCUACAGCAUUGGCGCGAGCAGUGGCUCACUCUGCUGGGCAUAAUUGACGAAAAUAUCACGCAUCGAUUGUGUAUGUUUAUCAUUCAUGGCACCUCCGUUAUCUACCUCUAUAGCCAUUUACCUUAUGGUAGAAGACAUAAUGAAUCUUUUCCAUAUGCAAACUACCAUAAUCUUGUAUUUUUGUUUGAGGCACGGUAGACGUAUGCGUAGACGUCAUAGGCGGCACUUGAUUAGGCAUUACUCUCUUAUAGAUCGGAUUCCACCACAAGUCCGGCAUAUGAAUAGACUUGUAUCUGUUAGCGACAUUGACUGCUUAGUCAACCUUCGAAUGGAUAGGAAUAUCUUCGGGAGAUUGUGUCUUCUUCUAAAGGAAGUUGGGGGGUUGCGAAAUGGUAGAUAUGUAUAUGUGGAGGAGCAGGUUGCCAUAUUCCUAGGGAUACUUGCACAUCACAAAAAAAAUCGUAUAAUAUGUUUCAACUUCAAGCGGUCUGGUGAAACUAUAUCACACUAUGUGCACAUAGUUUUAAGAGUUGUUAUAAGGCUACACAAAAUUCUCUUACCUAAACCGGAACCUGUCACGGAUGACAAUGGCGACACAAGGUGGAAACAUUUUAAGCGAGGCAAUGUCGACAUCAUCUGAAAAUGGUGAACUAAUACCAGAAUGCACUUGUGGGCGUGGGAAAAUGACUUAUUAUGUGCAGGGAAAAAGGUAAAACACAGUGGCUGAUUUUUUUACAAAUCUCCGGCAGACAUGAAACAUUCUGGAUCCUUUUUGUGGUGUGAUGACUUCCAUAGCCAAAAAGAUGGGGGCCGUAUACCAGAUUUUGUCUUGAAUCAGGAAUAUCGUCCAAAGAAAACUGUUAGCAACAUGAUGACAUCCAAAAAUACAAGUGUGACUCCAAGUGAAGUAGGUUGUAGAUCAUGCGGUCGUUGCCGGGCCGAGGCGAAGAUGAACAUCAUUUUAGCUUUCUUUGGAGUAAUGUUGUUUAUUCUAUUAUUGGGAACUUGCUUUAGGUUAUUGUCUCGAUAGGUUGUUGGCUCAGCUAGAGCAUUACCGAAAAACCUAUCUAUCAAUGUAUUUGUUGUCAAAUAGGUCUCUUUUGUAAACACUUUUGUAGUUAUGUGUAGGAUUUGAUGUUAUAGACCCAUUUUGGUUGGUUGUAUUUGUAUGUUUUUCAUGAAAAUUUUCAUGUAAUGUUUGUACAGUGGAUAA